rnacentral:rRNA from 2 species
UCGGACAUCAGGAGGUUAGUGCAAUGGCAUAAGCCAGCUUGACUGCGAGCGUGACGGCGCGAGCAGGUGCGAAAGCAGGUCAUAGUGAUCCGGUGGUUCUGAAUGGAAGGGCCAUCGCUCAACGGAUAAAAGGUACUCCGGGGAUAACAGGCUGAUACCGCCCAAGAGUUCAUAUCGACGGCGGUGUUUGGCACCUCGAUGUCGGCUCAUCACAUCCUGGGGCUGAAGUAGGUCCCAAGGGUAUGGCUGUUCGCCAUUUAAAGUGGUACGCGAGCUGGGUUUAGAACGUCGUGAGACAGUUCGGUCCCUAUCUGCCGUGGGCGCUGGAGAACUGAGGGGGGCUGCUCCUAGUACGAGAGGACCGGAGUGGACGCAUCACUGGUGUUCGGGUUGUCAUGCCAAUGGCACUGCCCGGUAGCUAAAUGCGGAAGAGAUAAGUGCUGAAAGCAUCUAAGCACGAAACUUGCCCCGAGAUGAGUUCUCCCUGAGACUUAGAGUCUCCUGAAGGAACGUUGAAGACGACGACGUUGAUAGGCCGGGUGUGUAAGCGCAGCGAUGCGUUGAGCUAACCGGUACUAAUGAACCGUGAGGCUUAACCUUACA